rnacentral:rRNA from 1 species
CUCUAGAAGAACUGCCGGUGCUAAGCCGGAGGAAGGUGGGGAUGACGUCAGGUCCUCAUGGCCCUUACGGGUAGGGCUACACACGUGCUACAAUGGCGCUGACAGAGGGUUAAUCCCUAAAAGGCGUCUCAGUUCGGAUUGUCCUCUGCAACUCGAGGGCAUGAAGUUGGAAUCGCUAGUAAUCGCGGAUCAGCAUGCCGCGGUGAAUACGUUCCCGGGCCUU